CCGAUCCCAAGCGCUGGGGUCCAUCCGCACCAGACCAACCUGCAUUCUGUCCCGACAAUCUCGCUCAUGCGCGUGCACCCAUUGUGGUCAGCUGGUGGGCUCGUUCGUUUCGAGAUCCGUGCUACAACAGAGAUGGCCAAGAUUUCCUCUGGUCGGAUUGCAGUGGCUUCGACAGAUGUCCACGGCCCUGGGAAUAUAAAUCCUGGAUCUCCGCUGAAGCUAUAAAUCCAUGAUGAGAGCACCUCCUUCCCCAUCUCUGCUCCUUGGAUCGAUCAUCACCGCCGUGAGACUCCGCCGCACAGAAGAGGGUCGAUAGCCGAAAGCCACCGCCACCGUCGAAUUCUCAUCCACGCCACCACUCGAGACCCGAUUGCUCACCUGUGAUCUUCACCGUGCUGGUGGGGAAAUUACCGAAGCCUUACCAACCAGGAUUAGGCGCAGUGGCCCCAGGAAUUCCUCGUUGUAGCUCGUGCUUCGUCGCGGACCUGUGUGACAUCGUGGUCAGCACCUCAACCCACUUCAAUACCGGUCAAGAACAAGUACCACUGGAUGAGGCACAUGAAGGAUGUUGUGAUGAGUUCGUGAGUGGUCUAGGUCGUCGUCUCCCAGUCAACUAUGGUUGCUAGAUCGAUGUCUUCGUAUGAUGUAAUUAUUUAUUUAUUUUGUAUAGAACUCCAUCAUAUAGUAAAGAUGUGGCAUUCGUUUCUGUACCAUGAGUCAUCAUAUGUGUGAGAUUUGAUUCCAACACACUUGGUGAAUUUCGCGCCUGGGUUUUGGACCCCUAAAACCCGAGUGUGACAAGAGCUUUGAUAGAUUGAGAUUUAAGCAAGAAGUUUGAGUUGUAAUUCCGCUGUGUUGUUACUUGUGCCUCUCUCUCGACUUGUGAGCGUGUGUUGCUGUGAUUUUUGUCUCUUGUGUGUGUUUCUACUCCCCUUACUAUUGAGUUCAUUUGAGAUCAAAUUGUGUAAGGCAUGAGAGACUCCAAAUUGUGGAGAUUCCUCAUAACGGGAUAAACUUAGAUAAGAAAGAAAAUCAUGGUAUUCAAGUU